rnacentral:lncRNA from 1 species
GCGGGCACCAGUGAACCCUAUCGACACUUCAAUGUUACCAUAGUUAGUGUCUUUAAGUUGAGCUACGAAUAUGAUGGCUUUCAACUUUUAGACCGGCCAGCCCAGAAGGAAAUAGCACAAAAAUAUACUCGUAGCUUCCUGCAGUGAUGAAGCCAAAGGCCCCUUCUCUCUCCUUGAUGCCCCCUCUUUUGUUGUGGACUCUUAUCCGGCGGGGUUGUGGCAUGUAGGUGAGCUGCAUGUUGUUGUUCUUUUAUUUCCCUGCCAAGCUUACCAUUUAACUCAACCUUCUAAAAUUUUCUGUACAUGGUCUUCUAUCCCAUUUAACCGGCUAGUAGCCACAUUCGUAAAGAUUUUAAAGUUUAUGUUUAGUAGAUAAUUGGUCGACCAGUGCUUAUGAAUCCAACAUGCAUCCUUUUUCAUUGGCAGCACUAUUAUAUCAUCAAUAUUUUGCCAGAAACAGUCGAGGUAAUCCGUGUGGAGUUCAUUAAACAAAUCCAGCAAAUUUUCCUUGAUCACUCAUAGAACCCUCAGUAGAAUUAUGCCAGAAAAUCGUCAUGCUUUUUUAUGUUCCAUCUAGAGCACCACAAUCCAAACUUCUUAUGUGUCGUAGAAAUUUCCAGUUAGUGAGCUAUAGCAACUAGUGGAAAUAUCCAGCGGGAUAGGUGGUUUGUAAAGUGCAAGGGCUGUGACCCUUCGCUGUAGUAUAUGCCAGUAUCCAGAGUAUAUCGAU